rnacentral:rRNA from 1 species
UAAGGAAUAUUGCGCAAUGGGCGAAAGCCUGACGCAGCGACGCCGCGUGGGGGAUGAAGGUCUUCGGAUUGUAAACCCCUUUCGGGAGGGAAAAUGGAACGAGCAAUCGUUCGGAUGGUACCUCCAGAAGCAGCCACGGCUAACUUCGUGCCAGCAGCCGCGGUAAUACGAAGGUGGCAAGCGUUGUUCGGAUUUACUGGGCGUAAAGGGAGCGUAGGCGGUUUGGUAAGCCCCUCGGGAAAUCUUCGGGCUCAACCCGGAAAGGUCGGGGGGGACUGCCAGGCUAGAGGAUGGGAGAGGAGCGCGGAAUUCCCGGUGUAGCGGUGAAAUGCGUAGAGAUCGGGAGGAAGGCCGGUGGCGAAGGCGGCGCUCUGGAACAUAUCUGACGCUGAGGCUCGAAAGCGUGGGGAGCAAACAGGAUUAGAUACCCUGGUAGUCCACGCCCUAAACGAUGGAUACUAAGUGUCGGCGGGUUACCGCCGGUGCCGCAGCUAACGCAGUAAGUAUCCCGCCUGGGGAGUACGGCCGCAAGGUG